UGCCAUGGGACAUUUUAAAAACAAUUGUUUUCCAAUAUUCAGAAUAUUCUGAUUCCUGUACAUUAUCAUAUCUGAGAUGUGUAUUCUGAGAUUAUAAACAUUUACCCAUACAUAUAACAAAAUAAAGUCUAUACUGACUUUUAAACCAUUGUGUAUAUUGCAAUUCUGACAAAAAAUAAAAAAACAUAGUCAAAAUUAUUUCCUUUCUCUCAUUU
rnacentral:lncRNA from 1 species